GCAGACACAAAAUAUAAUAAAUUAUGUAUGAGAUAAGAUAAUGUGGUUAUGGCAGUCGUUCCCUCUCUCUCAUUCCCCAUUCUUUCUUGCUUCUUCUUUCUCUUCUUCUUUCUGCUCAGUCGCAGCGCUCGUGCUGGUGCUAAAGACUGGGGGAGGA
rnacentral:ribozyme from 1 species